GAUAAACGCUGCAGAAUGCUUUACACAUGCAAGUCGGAUGACUAAGUAUAGCUUGCUAUACGAGGUCAUGGCGGACGGGUGAGUAACGUGUAAAGAACUUACCUUAUAGACUGGGAUAACAGAUAGAAAUGUCUGAUAAUAUAGAUACUAUUACCUGUGGCAUCACAGAGUAAUGAAAGAAUACGCUAUAAGAGAGCUUUGCAUCCUAUUAGCUAGUUGGUAAGGUAAAGGCUUACCAAGGCGAUGAUAGGUACCGGCCUGAGAGGGUGGACGGCCACAAGGGGAUGAGAUACGGCCCUUACUCCUACGGGAGGCAGCAGUGGGGAAUAUUGGACAAUGGAGGAAACUCUGAUCCAGCAAUUCUGUGUGUGUGAAGAAGGUCUUCGGAUUGUAAAACACUUUUAGUUGGGAAGAAACAAAUGACGGUACCAACA
rnacentral:rRNA from 1 species